UGCGAUACGCACGCGUUGUGCUCGAGUUUUCAGCAAACGAAAAAGAAUUUAAAGCAAACAGAAGUGCGGCAUUUUGGUGAAAGCAAAGAAAAAAGCGUAUUCAAACGUGCUCUGUGCGUAAAUUGAACAAAAGUAAAUGAAGCGGAACUAAGAGGGAAUGAGAAGUGAAGUAAUUGAAAUUAAAGAUUGCUCUUAAUUGAUAGCCAUCAAGUCUAAUCGCUGGCCCACAGUCAUUUAACUAACGCUCUCAUAAUUCCAGACCCAGUUUUGAUGUUUUUUUUUUUUGUAGAGCUCUUUCACAAACCGUGAUUGAUAACGCUCAACACACACACACAAUUACACACACACACCGGAAGUAUAAACUCGCAGCGGAAGUUAAAAAAAUCGUUGUCAGCAGCAGGAUUAAAAAGUGAACAAAAUUCCAAGUGAUGCACAACGGGUCGUAUGAUUAAUGGGGCCUAGCAGAGAGUUUUAAAUUUGUGCGAGACAAACAAGUGUGUCAUACACGAAAGAAUUAAAAAAUAUGUUAAAAUACAUGAUGUGUCUCGGUGGAUUUAAUCAUGUGUGCUUCAAUGCCGGACUCAUCUCGGAUGCUGGAAAAGUUGCGGGUUGAACUGAAAAUGCCAGCAGAAAAUAUGUGAAGAAAUUUAGAAGAAUUUAUGCAAAUCUCAAGCGAAACACAAAAGAAAUUUUUAAUAAGUAUUAAAAACGAUUCUUUAAAAAAAAGGUAGUAAAGUGUGUACAUAAUUGAUGUAAGAAAGUGAAAUAUGAACUCGACUUGAAGUCGCUGUGAAAAUGCAUAUCAAUAAAAAAAAAACAAGUAGCUGCUCAAGCGAAUACAUAAAAAA
rnacentral:sRNA from 13 species